rnacentral:rRNA from 1 species
CCUACGGGUGGCUGCAGUGGGGGAUAUUGCACAAUGGGGGAAACCCUGAUGCAGCGACGCCGCGUGGGCGAAGAAGUAUUUCGGUAUGUAAAGCCCUAUCAGCAGGGAAGAAGAAAUGACGGUACCUGAGUAAGAAGCACCGGCUAAAUACGUGCCAGCAGCCGCGGUAAUACGUAUGGUGCAAGCGUUAUCCGGAUUUACUGGGUGUAAAGGGAGCGCAGGCGGCACGGCAAGCCUGAUGUGAAAGCCCGCGGCCCAACCGCGGGACUGCAUUGGGAACUACCGGGCUGGAGUGCCGGAGAGGUAGGCGGAAUUCCUAGUGUAGCGGUGAAAUGCGUAGAUAUUAGGAAGAACACCAGUGGCGAAGGCGGCUCUCUGGUCUGCAACUGACGCUGAGGCUCGAAAGCAUGGGUAGCGAACAGGAUUAGAUACACUUGUAGUC